GUGCUGGCCUCGGCAGCACAUAUACUAAAAUUGGAAUGAUACAGAGAAGAUCAGCCUGGCCCCUGUGCAAGGAUGAUGCAAAUUUGUGAAGCAGUCCAUAAAAUU
rnacentral:snRNA from 1 species